ACGAACGCUGGCGGCGUGCUUAACACAUGCAAGUCGAACGGAAAGGCCCUGCUUGCAGGGUACUCGAGUGGCGAACGGGUGAGUAACACGUGGGUGAUCUGCCCUGCACUUCGGGAUAAGCCUGGGAAACUGGGUCUAAUACCGGAUAGGAGCCAUUUUUAGUGUGAUGGUUGGAAAGUUUUUUCGGUGUAGGAUGAGCUCGCGGCCUAUCAGCUUGUUGGUGGGGUAAUGGCCUACCAAGGCGGCGACGGGUAGCCGGCCUGAGAGGGUGGACGGCCACAUUGGGACUGAGAUACGGCCCAGACUCCUACGGGAGGCAGCAGUGGGGAAGAUUGCACAAUGGGCGCAAGCCUGAUGCAGCGACGCCGCGUGGGGGAUGACGGCCUUCGGGUUGUAAACUCCUUUCGCUAGGGACGAAGCUUUUUGUGACGGUACCUAGAGAAGAAGCACCGGCUAACUACGUG
rnacentral:rRNA from 1 species